rnacentral:rRNA from 1 species
UACGUAGGGUGCAAGCGUUGUUCGGAAUCAUUGGGCGUAAAGCGCGUGUAGGUUGUUUGAAAAGUCGAUUGUGAAAUACCUGGGCUUAACCGAGGAAGUGCAGUCGAAACUUUCAAGCUAGAGAUUGGUAGAGGAAGGUGGAAUUCCAAGUGUAGAGGUGAAAUUCGUAGAUAUUUGGAGGAAUACCGGUGGCGAAGGCGGCCUUCUGGGCCACAUCUGACACUGAGACGCGAAAGCGUGGGGAGCAAACAGG